GAUGCUGUGACGAGAUGAAAGCACUGUAAGGGUGUUUGAGGGCAGUGGCGGUGCCGCUGCGGGGCAUCGCCGUGAGCUCCGAUUAUUAAGGACUUCUCCUUCCACUGAGCUCC
rfam:Punica granatum cultivar Dabenzi scaffold59, whole genome shotgun sequence.